rnacentral:rRNA from 1 species
GGGUCAGUAGGUUGGUCGUGCCACCGGUACGUACUGGUCUCACUGAUUCCUCCUUCCUGAAGAACCGUAAUGCCAUUAAUUAGGGGAUGCGGGGAAACAGGACUGUUACUUUGAAAAAAUUAGAGUGUUUAAAGCAAGCUAACGCUUGAAUACAUUAGCAUGGAAUAAUGAAAUAGGACGAUCGAUCCUAUUUUGUUGGUUUCUAGGAUUGAUGUA